rnacentral:rRNA from 1 species
UAGGGAAUAUUAGAAAUGGACGAAAGUCUGAUCUAGCAACACCGCGUGUGCGAAGAAGGCCUUCGGGUCGUAAAGCACUUUUUGGAAGGAAUAGGAAGGAAUGUACUUCCAGAAUAAGUCUCGGCUAACUACGUGCCAGCAGCCGCGGUAACACGUAGGAGGCAAACGUUAUCCGGAUUUACUGGGCGUAAAGCGCGUGUAGGUGGUACUGUAAGUAGGGCGUGAAAGCUCCUGGCUCAACUGGGAGAGGCCGUUCUAAACUACAGAACUAGAGGAUGGUAGAGGGAGGUGGAAUUCCAGGUGUAGCGGUGGAAUGCGCAGAUAUCUGGAGGAACACCGGUGGCGAAGGCGGCCUCCUGGACCAUUCCUGACACUCAGACGCGAAAGCUAGGGUAGCA